GAUGAAGAACGUAGCGAAAUGCGAUACGUAAUGUGAAUUGCAAAUUCAGUGAAUCAUCGAGUCUUUGAACGCACAUUGCGCCCCCUGGUAUUCCGGGGGGCAUGCCUGUCCGAGCGUCAUUGCUGCCCUCAAGCACGGCUUGUGUGUUGGGCCCCGUCCUCCGAUUCCGGGGGACGGGCCCGAAAGGCAGCGGCGGCACCGCGUCCGGUCCUCGAGCGUAUGGGGCUUUGUCACCCGCUCUGUAGGCCCGGCCGGCGCUUGCCGAUCAACCCAAAUUUUUAUCCAGGUUGACCUCGGAUCAGGUAGGGAUACCCGCUGAGCUUAAGCAUAUCAAUAAGCGGAGGA
rnacentral:misc_RNA from 1 species